UACGUAGGGGGGCAAGCGUUGUCCGGAAUUAUUGGGCGUAAAGAGCGCGUAGGCGGUCCGAUAAGUCGGCUGUGAAAGUCAAGGGCUCAACCCUUGAAAGCCGGCCGAUACUGUCGGACUAGAGUCCGGAAGAGGCGAGUGGAAUUCCAGGUGUAGCGGUGAAAUGCGUAGAUAUCUGGAGGAAUACCGGUGGCGAAGGCGGCAUCCUGGACCGACAUUGACGCUGAACGGCGAAAGCUAGGGGAGCAAACGGG
rnacentral:rRNA from 1 species